UUUUUUUUUGAGAAAUUUUCAAAAAUCAGGUUUCAAAACAAUCAACCAAACAAAUUUUCUGAGAAUUUGAAAAUAUUUUUUUAAUAUUAUCUCAAAAAAAUUCUCAAAAAACAGGUUUCAAAACUACCAAUCAAAUAAUAUUUUUGAAAAUGACUUUUCAAAUUAAUUCUGAAAAUUAAACCAAAGAGAAAACCUAACCUAUCUAGUGGGAUUAUGAAAACGAAACCAGAAGAAAACCUAAUUUAUUCAGUGAAAUUAUGAAAACAAAACCAAACAUAAACAAAACGUAUCUAGUGGGAUUAUGAAAACCAAACCAAAGAAAAACCUAAUUUAUCCGAUGGGAUUAUGAAAACGAAACCAGAGGAAAACUUAAUUUAUCUAGUGGGAUUAUGAAAACCAAACCAAAGAAAACCUAAUUUAUCCGAUGGGAUUAUGAAAACGAAACCAGAGGAAAACUUAAUUUAUCUAGUGGGAUUAUGAAAACCAAACCAACAGAAACCUAACGUAUCUAGUGAGAUUAUGAAAACGAAACCAGAAAAAAACUAAUUUAUCUAGUGGGAUUAUGAAAACUAAACCAAACAGAAACCUAACGUAUCUAGCUGGAUUAUGAAAACAAAAUCAGAAAAAAACAUAAUCUAUCCAGUGGGAUUAUGAAAACAAAACCAAACAGAAACCUAACUAUCUAGUGGGAUUAUGAAAACAAAACCAAACAUAAACAAAACGUAUCUAGUGGAUUAUGAAAACAAAAUCAGAAAAAAAACAUAAUCUAUCCAGUGGGAUUAUGAAAACAAAACCAA
rnacentral:lncRNA from 1 species